AUUCAGAUGAUAAGUUCCAAAUAGGACGAAACACACGUCCUAAAU
rnacentral:hammerhead_ribozyme from 1 species